rnacentral:rRNA from 1 species
UGGGGAAUAUUGGGCAAUGGGGGGAAACCCCUGACCCAGCAACGCCGCGUGAAGGAAGAAGGCUUUCGGGUUGUAAACUUCUUUUACCAGGGACGAAGGACGUGACGGUACCUGGAGAAAAAGCAACGGCUAACUACGUGCC